GUCCUAGCAGUAAACGGUGCGCGUUUGGUGUGGGGGGUGACCCCUCCCGUGCCGAAGUUAACACGAUAAACGCGCCGCCUGGGAAGUACGGUCGCAAGACUAAAACUCAAAGAAAUUGACGGGGACCAGCACAAGCGGUGGAGUAUGUGGCUUAAUUCGAUGCAACGCGAAGAACCUUACCUAGGCUUGACAUGCAUUCUGUCAUUAGCGAAAGCUAGUUAGUGUAGCAAUACACAGUUUGCACAGGUGCUGCAUGGCUGUCGU
rnacentral:rRNA from 1 species